UCCGCUGAUGACCAUGAUAAAAAAUACAAACUAGAGUUUCUGAAUCUAAAUGAUUAGAACACCGAUCAUGCGAAAGCACUGAGG
rnacentral:snoRNA from 1 species